AGGUCCCUUACCAAUGGGAUUGUUAAAUAUUAUAUGGUUAUCUGUAGGGGUAACACUUCUUAUCUCGUGUAUGUUCAAAAUCACUUUCUUAUUAUUUGAGACACACUAGAAAUAAUUAAUCUUUAGUUCAUGUGUUAUUUACAACAGUGUAAUUUUCUACGUGUCAGCACUACAAACUCUCUCACCAACAAUAUUCAAAAACCCUUAAUUUACUAGUCUAAUUACAACAACUGCCACUGAUCAUUAGUUUAUAUGCUAUAAGCUUCUUCUUUAUUGACUAACUAAAAACACAAUGUCUACGAUUAAUGUUUUCGCAUUAUUAUUUUCCAUGUUAUAUUACACGGAUUAUUAAUCAAUAAAAAUUAAUCAAUACAAAUUAGAAUUACUCAUCGAUGAAUCACUGAUAUUUGAGUAGGUCUAUCAUAUGGUUUUAGGAGCAUGAAAAAUACAACUUCUGACUUUAAGGCUGACAUAGACUAACUCAAAAUAUUAUUUAAAAAUCAUUAUAAAACUUAGUGGCUUGAUAUCAUCAAACGAUCCAGCAUCAUUAUUGUCCAUGUAUUAUUUACAUGUAUAUUAAUAAUAUAGCGUUCGACAUAGUAAUUGUUAACUCACUUAUAUAGGAGACGUCGAAUCAUAUGGUUUCCUACGUAUAUAACUUAUAUAAAAUAAAAUGUGAUAAUCACAGUUUGACAUGUUGUAACUUAAAAUCAUUAUACAAAAUACAUAGCAAAACGAUCAAUAUAUAUAAUCAUCAAAUAAUUGUAAGUUUAUUUUAUAAGAAUCGGAUUCAAAUUAUAUGAAAAAUAAAUUCUAGACAUACGUUAAGUAUGAUGAAUUUAUUUGUUUGAUGUAUAUUCCUAAAGAUCAAAUAUGAAAUAAUAAUCACGAUUUACUUGCGUCACAACCCACAUGAUAUUGAUGAUCUUCCUACGUUAAUUAUGUCUUGUCAACCUAAAUUAUAGUUAAAACCUGCAAAAUAACUGUGAUUCCCUUAGUUAUGCCAGUGAUAUGCUUAAUUUAAAUAAAUUACAUCAAAUCCUCUAUCAAUCAUGCAUUAAUAGGUGAUGUUUAAUUGUGUUUUCCUCAAUUUUGGCUUCAUGAGGAAUGUAAAUACGAUUAUGACUACAAUUUGUUUUUUCGUAAUUUAAAAAAUGUUUUUAUGAUAUUAUAGAUUAAAAGUAGACGUCGAAUCAUACAAUAAUAUGGAAACUAAAAAUCAUAGCGAGUCAAAUUGGUGAGAGAACAAGUGAUUGUCACUGAUUGCUUUCAAAGAUUAAUUUACGAAUUCUUAUACUCGGUUUGUUUCCUAUAAUACAACAAAAAAAAUCGUGUAGUAUUAUAAACCAUGCAAUUAAAAUAUUCAGAUAUUGAUUUCGAAUAUAAGGAUUUAAAUUGUGACUAUUAAUUGCGUCGAGUUUACCCUAGACAUGCAUGGUGUCUUACACAUAUAAAUAUGAAUGUCUUAUAUCUACAUCUCCUCACAAUUGUCUCCUACUCAAAACUACUUUACCACUGCAUUCAAGCAAUCACAGCCACUAAAUUAAUUCUUUCUCAUCGGUUGUCACUUUUUUUAAUGAUCAUAUUAGGAUUGCAAAUGAAGAAUUCUUAAGACACUAUUCACCGCAGAUGCUUUUCUCAAUUUUAAUUGUUUUUAUUAUAUUUCGUAUCUGAAGGAUUUUAUUACUCUAUUGCUUAUGUUUUGUUUUAUCUUUAUUUCAUAAAUGAUUGUAUAUUAGUUUUUGCUUACUCUUAUAACUCUUAUUUUCUCUUUUACACUACCUAUAGGACAAAUAUACUAAAAUAUAAACAAGUUUAAAAAAAAAACAGAAUUAAUUUGUUAUUGAAACGGCACAAUUAUUUAUAUACUUUUAUUUUACAAUAUUUACCAUUUUUAUUCAAUGUACUUUUAUAAUAUCUAUUAAUUCAAAUUAGUAAUCUCUCCAAAUCUCUUCACGCGGAUUAUCACCUAGUGUCAUAUUAUAAUGUAUGUUCUUCUGUUGAACACAUGAAAACUAGAGCUGGGAAUUUUAAUUAAUGCCCGCGGGUCCCGCCCCAUUUGAUCCGCUGCGGGGCGGGUGCGGGUCGAAGAAUUUGAAAAUUUGCAAUGGCGGGUGCGGGUGCGGGUCAAGAUUAUUUUAAGCGGGGCGGGUGCGGGUCAGUCGAAUUUGAGUCGCGGGUACUCGUUAACCCGCAAAUUUAAGAAAAAAAGAUUUUUUUUUUUUAAAAAAUGUUUCUUUUAUAAAAAAUAUAUUAAAUCUCGUAAAUAUUUAUAUAAUUUUAAUUAUUAAUAUAUUAUUUUAAUAUAAUUUUUUAAAAAUAAUAUUUUUUAACUAUAUAAUAAUUAUUUUUAAUUAAAAUAAUUAUUUUUAAUAUAAUUAAUAUUACCCGCGGGUUACCCGCGGGUUUUUGCGGGGCGGGUGCGGGUAGAAAUUUUUUUGUUUAUGAGUUAUGCGGGUCGAUUUUUUGAAUCAAAAAAAUAAUUCAACCCGCAGCGGGGCGGGGCAGGUCGGGGCGGGUUGACCCGCAAACCCAGCACUAAUGAAAACAUAUGUUUAUCUGUACUAUUAUUUGAGAAGUGAAUUUGUUGAUUUUUCAUGUUUUUCAUAGUUUAGGUAGUUUUGUUUAUUUGUCAUUUUAUUAGUUUUUAUUUGAAUCAUUAAUUUAGUAAUUUAAAUAAAUGAUUUUACUGAUUUGUAAUGUUCUUCAUAAUUUUAUUUAUUUUUUUAUUUCUCAUGUUUUUAUUAGUUUUUAUCAGUUUUUAUAUGAAUCAUUAAUUUAUUAAUUUAAAUAAGUAAUUUUGAUAGUUUGUCAUAUUCUCCAUGAUUUUAGGUAAUUUUUUUUAUUUGUCAUAUUUUUAUUAGUUUUAGCUUAAUCAUUAGUUUAUUAAAUAAAAUAAAGUAACUAUUUCACAUUUAAUUAGAACUAGUGUCCGGCCCCGUACUACGUACGGGUAAAAAAUUCUUAAAUUUGAUAUCAAAAUCAAAAUGUAUUAACACAACAUUUAUUAUUGUGUCUGCCUAUCUUACACAAUAUUGCAUCCGCAGUAACAUCGUGUAAUAAUAAUUGAAAAAACUUGGGAGAACGAAUACUCCCGACAAUAACAUUGAAAAAACUGUAAUAUAAAAAGAAAACAUAAGAUAUAAUGAAGAUCAAUUCUUACGGGGGAAUGCAACUUAAAGGCUAGCUAGAUUUUUUUGUAACACUAAAGGCUAGCUAGUUUGUAAUACGAAUAUGAAUCGAAACUAUGAAAAGUAAUGAUAAAACUAAAAGUUUGCAUAAUCAAUUAACUUUUCUAUUGGAUGACAUUUCUUUUUACUAUGUAGUGCUUCGAAAAUGUUGGGAAUAUGAUUUAAACUCUAAUAUCUUCUAGUUUUGCAUAUGGCCAACCCCUAAAUUUUAGUUUUAUGACUUUAUCUACUUUUGUUUUUAAUCAGCUUUCCACAUUUGCUUGAGACUUGUAUUAAUAUUAAUGCUCCACUAACCGAAUGUUUACCCGUUUUCUUUGGAAUCAUCACCAAAACAUGCAAGCACUCUAGUAAUUACCAAAAAAAAAAAAUUCUUUGAUUGACGUAUUUACCUUUCUUAAAAAGAGUAACAAAAUUGAUUUGUAAAUAGCUAGGUUUUUAUAUAGUAGAGUUGAAUGAACUUGUGUUUACCUCAUUCGCAAACAACUCUUUGAUUUCCCUGUCCUUCUCUUUUGAAGAAAUUAGCUUUGAAACGGUAGUAUAAUAUCCAAGUGACAUCUUCUAUCUGAAUAAUGCUUAAAGAAUCAAAUGAUAUAGAUUUGAGCAGAAUAUAAAAAAUGAACAGAAUAUAGUAGUCACAAACCUCUUUUGAUUUUUGCUGAUACACUGAAAAUAAGAAGAAAAAAAAACUGAGGAAGAAUAUGGAACAUGGAGAAGAAGGAAGAGAAAAGCCAAUAUAUAUAAGUUGAAACUGUUUGAUAUUUUUGUGCCAUAAUUUGGGAGUUACAUAUGACGUUAAAGUGAUCGUGGGGAUUUGAGAAAAUUUAGGAUCUGAAAACUAAAAAGUAUGUUUAUUCAUUUUUUUUGUUAAAAUAAUUUCUGUCACAAUUGAUUUAUUUUUUCAAAUUUCUGAAAAAAUAGAAGUGGACAGUUAAUAUUUAAACUGCAGAAAAACAGGAGAUGCAAAUAAAAUUUUAAUUAUUUUUAUUUUUAAUUGUUUUGAAAUUUUUUUCCACGUGUCGGUAUUUGAUUCGUCAGGCGACUUGCGCUUUAGUAUAUAAAGGAUUAUAAUUACCUGAGUUUUAACAAGUUAGUUACAAGAGAAAAUGUCUAAGAUAGCACCAAAUCAAGUUUUUGUUCCCAAACUAGCACUCAAGAUCCAAAAUCACAAAAAUAGGUUUCAUUAAAUGGGAUCAUUUACCCUUAUGCCCUCUCCUUUGAUUAAUUAAAUGUGUUCAUCUUCCUCGUCCUUCACCUACGACGGAAUACCAUUGCUCCGCCGUGUUUCUUUCCGUCGUCAUCAGAUCUACCGUCUUCAGGUCAGUACAUCCGUCGUCAUCAGAUUCGUUGUGGCUGUCAUCAGGUUCGUCGUUGUUGUCCCCGAGCUAUGGAUGCUGGUGUUAAGUUACAUGACUCAGACUUUAGAUUGCAGAUAUUAGCUUUGCGGUGAUGUAUCUAGAAGCCGUGCCUCCGAUCGGGUUCGUCCUCUCUCUCGUUUCCCUCAUCUCCAAAUCGUUUUGCAAUGUCCUGUGUAGAGAAUUAUGAAUCCGAAUUACUGAGAUAUUUAUUCUCUAGGUAUAAAUCGUGUGUUCGAUCACCGAUCAGAUGAUUGUGGUUUUUGUAAAUGUUUGACAGAUAAAUAAAAGAGGAGAAUCAGUGGAAGAUAAGAUUAAAAAGCUUGAUGUUGAGCUCUGCAAAUACAGAGAGCAGAUUCAAAAGACACGAUCUGGUCCUGUUCAACAAGCUCUCAAAGCUCGUGCUAUGAGGCUUCUGAAGCAGAAGAAAAUGUAAGGGAUUCAUUAGGUUUACAGCUAGCUCUGUUCAUUAGCUAUUGUUGAUCAAUUACAUUACUUUCUUAUCAGGUAUGAAGGACAACGCGACAUGCUUUAUAAUCAGACAUUCAAUCUCGAUCAAGUCUCUUUCGCUGCUGAAGGUCUCAAAGAUGCUCAACAAACUCAAAUGCAUAUCUCUCUUUGUUUCUAAGCUAUUGUCCACGCCUGUGGACAUGGCUAGGUCAUAUAUGCGAGCUCGACUGCCAUGGGGAUCUCUGUCUGUGAACAAUUCAGAGUUUUGGUCACCAUCAUCAGCAGGGACGCAACUUCUUAAGGAAGGAACACCAUUUUCUUAUAAUGCUGGAAACUUAUCCUCUUCCAAGGACUUUGAGUAGGAACAAACUUAACGGGACUAUCCCUGUGUCACUCACUGGUCUUCCGAACCUGAUAAAUCUUCUUUUUGAUUCCAAUAAUCUCAAUGGCCAGAUUCCUCAAACUCUAUUUCAGAUCCCAAAAUACAAUUUCACAGGAAACAACUUGAAUUGUGGUGUUGGUCAACCUCACCCUUGUGUAUCUGAGGUUGCCCGUUCAGGUGAUUCAAGCAAGCCAAAAACUGGCAUUAUUGCAGGAGUUACUGUCGUCCUCUUUUGAAUCUUAGUGUUCUUGUUCUGCAGGGAUAGACAUAAAGGAUACAAACGUGACGUGUUCGUGGAUGUUGCAGGUUGGUUCGUGGAUGUUGCAGCUGUACCACCUCAAAUUGGUUUGGUCUGUUUUGUGUUGUGGUUUGUUUGAACUUUAUAUAGUGGUGCUGCUCAGAACAUCAACAUCAGAACCAGAAUGAAUUUAAAAAGUUUUACAAAGUAUUAAUCUAUAUUUGCUGUCAAGAUUUGCUUACUGAUCAUCAUCACUCAGAAAGAGAAAAAGGAUCAACGAUCGUUUUCAAGCAGUAAAAGAAAGAGACAUAAACAACUCACCCACUUCAAUGGUUUGAUUUGGUAGUGGCUUUAACUAAAAAUCAACGUGAUCUCUAUGCAUAUUUAAACUAUAUCUCAAUAAUGUUCUCAUUAUAUGGCGGCAGUAUUUAAUCCUUUGUGUGAUGAAGUACUUUUGUUGGUUAAUAAAGAUAAUAGCAUUAGAUGUUACAAGUUUUAUCCUAAGUCUUUGUUAUAUACUUUUAAUUCCCUAACCUGUAAAGUACUAUUCGAAAGUAAUUGAGAUUAUCUUCUUUUUCAUGUAUGUGAUUCAUCUUUUUGGUCAUGUAGACACUAUCUCUUGAUAGAAUUAUUGAAAAUGUUUCAAGCUAUCCCAUUUUAAUGUUCUCGGUUUGAUAUAUGUUCUCUAUUUUGUAGACAACUAACUAUAUUUGAUGAUUUUUAUAGCCAACUAAUUUUCUUAUAGAUUUUGAUUAUGUUUUUUUUGGAAGAUUAAGUUCCAAUUUAUGAUAGCCAUCCUGAACAAGGAUUGUCUAACAUUCCUUACACGCUUUUGAUUCUCUUCGAAAACAAACUUAUGCAAGAAAACACACUUAUUUUGUUUUUCUGGAAACCCAUCCCGAAAGUGCCAAAAGUUAUCCUAUAUAACAUAUGUGUUUUAUAAUGAUACCACAUUUAACACUUUCUUGAUAGAAUUAUUGAAAAUGUUUCAAGCUAUCCUAUUAUGUUCUUGGUUUGCUAUGUGUUCUCUAUUUUGUAGACAAUAAACUCUAUUUUGGUGAUUUCUAUAGCCAAUGAAUUUUUUUAUAGAUUUGAUUAUGUUUUUUUGGAAGAUUAAGUUCCAAAUUAGGAUAGCCAUCCUGAACAAAGAUUGUCUAACAUUCCUUACACGCUUUUGAUUCUCUUCGAAAACAGACUUGCAAGAAAACACAUUCAUUUUAUUUUUCUUGGAAACCCAUCCUGAAAGUGCCAAAAGCUAUCCUAUAUAACAUAUGUAUUUUAUAAUGAUACCAUAUUUAAUACUUUCUCGAUAGAAUUAUUGAAAAUUCUUCAAGCUAUCCUAUUUCAAUGUUAUCUGUUUUAUAUGUGUUCUCUAUUUUGUAAACAACUAACUCUAUUUUGCUGAUUUCUAUAGUCAUUGAAUUUUCUUAUAGAUUUUGAUUAUGUUUUUUUUUGGAAGAUUAAGUUCCAAAUUAGGAUAGCCAUCCUGAACAAGGAUUGUCUAACAUUCCUUACACGCUUUUGAUUCUCUUCGAAAACAGACUUAUGCAAGAAAACACAUUUAUUUUAUUUUUCUUGGAAACCCAUCCUGAAAGUGCCAAAAGAUAUCAUAUAUAACAUAUGUGUUUUAUAAUUAUACCACAUUUAACACUUUCUUGAUAGAAUUAUUGAAAUGCUUCAAGUUAUCCUAUUUUAAUGUUCUCUGUUUGAUAUGUGUUCUCUAUUUUGUAGACAACUAACUCUAUUUUGGUGAUUUUUAUAGCCAAUGAAUUUUUUUAUAGAUUUUGAUUAUGUUUUUCUUUCUUUUUUUGGAAAUUAAAUUAGGAUAGCCAUCCUGAACAAGGAUUGUCUAACAUUCCUUACACGCUUUUGAUUCUCUUCGAAAACAGACUUAUGCAAAAAAAACACUCAUUUUAUUUUUCUGGAAACCCAUCCUGAAAGUGCCAAAAGAUAUCCUAUAUAACAUGUGUUUUAUAAUUAUACCACAUUUAACACUUUCUUGAUACAAUUAUUGAAAAUGCUUAAAGCUAUCCUAUUUUAAUGUUCUUUGUUUGAUAUGUGUUCUCUAUUUUGUAGAUAACUAACUCUAUUUUGGUGAUUUCUAUAGCCAAUGAAUUUACUUAUAUAUUUUGAUUAUGUUUUUCUUUUUAGGAAGAUUAAGUUCCAAAUUAGGAUAGCCAUCCUGAACAAGGAUUGUCUAACAUUCCUUACACGCUUUUGAUUCUCUUCGAAAACAGACUUAUGCAAGAAAACACAUUCAUUUUAUUUUUCUGGAAACCCAUCCUGUAAGUGCCAAAAGAUAUCCUAUAUAAAAUAUGUGUUUUAUAAUGAUACCACAUUUAACACUUUCUCGAUAGAAUUAUUAAAAAUGCUUCAAGCUAUCCUAUUUUAAUAUUCUUUGUUUGAUAUGUGUUCUCUAUUUUGUAGACAACUAAUUCUAUUUUAGUGAUUUUUAUAGCCAAUGAAUUUUCUUAUAGAUUUUGAUUAUGUUUUUUUUUGGAAUAUUAAUUCCAUUUUAGGAUAGCCAUCCUGAACAAGGAUUGUCCAACAUUCCUUACAUGCUUUUGAUUCUCUUCGAAAACAGACUUAUACAAGAAAACACACUCAUUUUUUGUUGGAAACCCAUCCUGAAAGUGCCAACCGCUAUCCUAUAUAACAUAUGUGUUUAUAAUGAUACCACAUUUAAUACUUUCUCGAUAGAAUUAUUGAAAAUUCUUCAAGCUAUCCUAUUUCAAUGUUAUAUGUUUUAUAUGUGUUCUCUAUUUUGUAAACAACUAACUCUAUUUUGCUGAUUUCUAUAGUCAGUGAAUUUUCUUAUAGAUUUUGAUUAUGUUUUUUUUUCUGGAAGAUUAAGUUCCAAAUUAGGAUAGCCAUCCUGAACAAGGAUUGUCUAACAUUCCUUACACGCUUUUGAUUCUCUUCGAAAACAUAUUUAUGCAAAAAAACACUCAUUUUAUUUUUUUGGAAACCCAGCCUGAAUGUGCCAAAAGCUAUCCUAUAUAACAUGUGUUUUAUAAUGAUACCACAUUUAACACUUUCUUGAUAGAAUUAUUGAAAAUGUUUCAAGCUAUCUUAUUUUAAUGUUCUUUGUUUAAUGGUAAGUUUUUUUUUUUUGCGAGAAACCGGUGUCGAGUAAGUUAAUUUGAAUUCCGGUUACCCACCAACCCAUAAAUAAACAAAAAAAUAUUUACUUCAGAAUAUGCAUAGAAGAAAGUCAGUUGUGAUAAAAACAAAAGAAAACAAAAGUAUACUUCCGGUUGCCUCUUGGAGCCAUUCACCGUGUGAAAAUAGCUUAAAUUUGAGGAUUGUCUCCUGCGGAAUUCUUGUUUCAUGAUCCUUAAUGAAUCCAGGUAAGUUAUGGCACAUCUGGAUUCGUGAUACUAAAAGAGAUAAUUAUUAUCAUGGUGAGUCCUCAGGUGAGCUAGCACUUGCCAUUUUCAUUAUUUUUUGGUAAAAUGUUAAGCUAGCACUUGACAUUUAUCAAGGAGCUACAGUAAUUUAGUAAACAAGCAAACGUGGGCUAAGAAUAAUUUAAGCCUAGGAGCCUCUUUUAAAACAAAAUUCUACGAGGGCUCUUCCUUCUUCAUACUCCUAAGACUGUACGCUAGAUGAUGAUUGCGUACAUGCAAAAUAAUAAGAUUCCUCUUAAGAGAGUUCAUUAGGCUAGCGAAUAAGCAGAACUACGUCUACUUAAUAUUUAUUUAUUUAUUUAUUUAUUUACUCAGCAGAAGAACAUGUUGCUUUCGACUCUCUCCUGCAAACGCGGAAGCUCCGGAACUUUCUCCUCUGAUACAUCUUCAAACUUUGUGAAUUGCGCAAACUGAGCUGCUGCUAAAUGAGCGUAUCGCACUGGAGCCAUUGAGAACAAGUAAACAAACAAACAGAAGGGACACAUUGAAUAUUGAGAAGCUUGUGUUUUAUUAUAAAAGAGAAUUUGAUUAAGGAAGUGUGUUUACCAAUUGAGGUUGCAGUUGUGCUCCGCUGGUUGCUGGACCGAUGAUUAAAGAAGAUUAGAAUUGAGUUUUUUGUAAGUUGCGAAUGCGAGGAUUAGGGUGUAGAGAGACUUACACAUAGGAGAGAGAAUGGAUGAGGUUCUGCAACUCAUCGGGAGAGAAACCAAUCUCAUCCAGCAAGACAUGAUAGUGAGCCGGUCUUGAAGUUCCCUGGGAGAUCGGCAAGGUGAAACAUAAACAUAUGCAGUGAGGAGUGAAACUCUUAAGGUUAAAGAAGUCAAAACUUACUAUUAUUCCUGCAUGGGCACACAUGUAAAAAUCUUAGUUGGUCGGGUGUACAAUCUUGGUGUCCACAACGGUUCCUGACAAACAUUUUUUAUGAUAAAAGAGUUAUGAUACAAAAAUUGAAUCGUAGUGUGACUGAUGCAGAAGAUAAAACGUAUCCUCUUUACCUGCAGGAACAUUUUCAUGACCCUUAGCUUGAAACAAUUUGGUGUGGUGUCUUUUCUGAGCCACAAUGACAGUGAACUUUGGCACGUCGGUCUCACCAAGACGUUGAUACGCCUGCAUUGUGUUAAAUAAGCAAACUGUUCAAUAUAAUACUUUCACUAGAAACAUAAUUUGAUAGAAGCCAGAUCUGGCCAAGGAACUUUGAAACACGACCUUUAUUAUCUGAUCCACCACAAUGUUCAAGACUUGGUUGAACUGUGAUUCACUUACUCCAUCCCUAACCAAUACGCCCAUGAUUGUGUAAGAACAUUUUUUAGAUACUGGAGGUUAAACAACAAAACAAACGACACAGUUUUCUGCUAGUACCUGAAUAUGAUAAUCUGCUUAGGCUUUCGUGCGUUGCUUGUCUUGAAAAAUUCCACAAACAAUUCACUGUUGGAAACAGAAAUUUGGUCAGAGCAAAAGAGAAGACACCUAAAUAUCUUGUGAUAACUGGUUGCUUCCUGAUUUAACAAAAAAUCGAGCUGACUAAAUAGCAUCCACUUACUUCAUGAUACCGGUUGUCUCCGUUCACAGGGUCGUCAACUGGUUGGAAGAGCGAAUCAAUCAUUUCCAGUUUUUGUGACUGACUUCUCACAGCUGCCAGUUUUUUGAACCAACAACCUUACAGCACAGGCUGAGACAUGAAAAGUAAACAGACGGAAAAUAAAGGACAAGCAAAGUAAGAAUAAAGCAAUACCGCUGCUACUGAAGGAACAUCUGCACGACCUGGAGACCCAUGAGAUACAUCCAUACCCAUGAUUAAGGUGGGAAUUUUGUUAAUCAAUGGGAUGCUGAAAGAGCACUCUACUCCCAACAGAGAAUUGAUUCCACCAAGCUAGAUUAAGACAGUAAAAGAAGUUGAAGAGAACACUACAUCAUAUGCAAAUUCUAAAUACCGAAGGAAGAAUACCAACAGAGACACAUUGUUGGGUGAUGUAGAAACUGAAAUCACCGGUGCUGCGGUUGCGUAGGACGGCGUAGACACGGUGUUGGGUGAUGCCUAGCUGAGAUCGCCUCUUGUAGAGCUUAGACGAGGCGGUGAGAUUCCUGAAACUCUUGGAGACGAGGGAGAGUAUCGGGUAGUGGCUUCUGGGCACGGUGAGGUCGUCGGGGAGUGAAUGAAUCAGACGAUGUCAACGGCGAGGUCGCCGCCGUCGCCUCGCGUCGAGAAGAAGAAUCGCCAUGCUUGGCGUGAGAGAGAGGUUGUUCUGAUUUUUUUUUUCGUUUGUUUAAUUAAUUUUAAAAGAAGGGUAUUAGAGACAUUUUGUCCAUUAAUGAAUGUCAUUUUUGUGACUUUCUCCUUCUAGUGCUAUUUUUGAGAUAUAAACUUCAAAAGGUGCUAUUAUUGACAAUUGCCCUAGUUACAAUUCUUAUUUGUCAUAUAUGUGAUGUAAAAGAUUUUAAUUAAUGGAAACUAUAUCAUAUCUAUACUAUACUAAAAGCCCUAUAUACUCAAUGGUGAGGCUGCCACGUCACCAAAAAUAAUCAGCCAAUGAGAGAUAACAUUUUUGCCAUGUCACUACUGCUUCCGAAGAAUAAAGCUCGAGACUGGACUUCCUUCCUUUUGGGCUGUCCCUACAUUUACGUACGGCCCAUAUCAAGUCCAAUCUUGCCUAGCUCUAACUUUGUCUGAAGCAUCCAGAGUUCAUCUUCCCGUCUCUUCCACUUCGUCUUCAACCCCGUUACUGCAAGCUCCUAUCAAUCAUUUAUGCUCUUUAAAUGUCUUCUUUAUUGUAAAUACCAAUUUAUCCAUUAAUCUAAGCAUUUACGAGUUCUCCAUCACUACUUCUACUCUCUCGCAUUAAAGUGGAAUUAGCAUCCUCCACCGUAGCUCCGCUUAUAAAUGGGUUCGUUGCCUGCGUUGAACAGCCACACCACUGCGAAAUCUCGAAGAUCACUCUCUGUCAAGCAUCAACUCUAUUUAUGGCUGAUUCGUUCACUCUUCGUCCCGGCCCCAUACUAUUGGAUCGACUUCUAUUGAUUCCGUAUGAUGUUAUUUAUUGCAAUUAAUCAUACCUUUGGUUGUCGACAUUUUUUUGGUUGAUGAGAUUCAGAUUUGUGUUUAAAUUUUGAAACCAGCAUUGAAGAAUGCGGCCGGAUCUAAAUCGAGUGGGAGCUCUUUGGACGAUGAUGAUGAGGAUGAGGACGAUGACGUCUGUGAUUGGGGGUUUGUGGUGAGGAAGAAGAGUGGAGUGGAUGAGGUAUAUCCGACUAGAGGUGAAGGGUCGUCGUGUAGGGAGCUGGCGAGAGUGAUUCUGAAGUUGGGAGAGGUGUACGAGAGGAUCGAAGGUGCGAAGCAGAGGAUGAUGGUUGAGUUGGAGAAACAGAGGAUGGAAGCUGCUAAGGAGAUUGAGUUGCAACGAAUGAACAUGUUGAUGGAUAUGCAGAUGGAGCUUGAAAGAUCCAAGCUUGCCAAACGUAGAACUGCUGCUUCAGUUAAGAAGUUAUAGGAUUAAAAUUGUGGAGAAGCUAUACUGUGGUAGAGCAAGGGAGCAAUGGUUGGAUCUGAGAGCUCAUUUUGAAUUGGAGAAACUGUUAUUAUUCUUACUCACUAGGUUUCAUGUUAGAGCAAUGCUUUUUUUUUCUUCUUCUUAUUCUGUUUCCUUCUCUUAAAGCAGGUUGGUGAAAGAAACUCUGGUAGUAUCCCACAGACAUAUCAACGUGUAUUUGACACUGUCAAGUGUUAAUAUAUUAUGGUUUCUGUAUCAAUACCUGCGGAGUGCUCUUUGCUCUUUUUGUGUAAUCAUGUCUUAGAGUUGCCUACAGAUUUCAGAGCCAUUCAUGUUCUUCCAUAAUUAACAUUUGGAACAGAUCAAAACACACCAAGCUAUUGAUAGAGCACAAGUAGUGUAUUAUUAUUGAAUUGGAAGGAGUUAUAAUCUCAGGAGCACUAAUGAGACCUUAUCUCAGGAUCCCAUACACAUGAGAUUUCUCUCAGUUCAUCAACCGGCCUUAGUCACCCGAAUAAAUAUCAAGCUAAUCGUCUCAUUACUUAUUGGUAUUAUACGGUUUCUUUGAACACUCAGACUCCCAUUUCUUAAAUAAAAAUCAUGACGACAAAUCAGCGAUUAUAGUGACUAAAUGCCAGGUAGAAAAAUGGUUUUCAGAAAAUUACUACAUUUUCAUGUGAAGCUUAAGAUACCAGAAUUGAUGAAAGUUAGGACAAAGAUUAUGUCAAGACAUACAAAAUCAUAUAUAUAAAGAUAAAUAGAGAAUUAAUAUCAAUAUAUCGACCCUCAUAAUAAUUAAAAGAAAAUUAAUUUCAAAUUUAAUGUAUAUUUUUAUUUAUAAAAUAUUGGUAUUAACUAUAAAUAAUUUUAUACAUUUAGAGUAUUUCCACCCCUACCUAUUUCUUAUUAUAAAUUAGCAAAAUAACAAAUAAAAUUUAAAAUUAGAUAAAAAUACAUAAUAAAGGCCAAUACCAUAAUAUAACCUAAAAUGUAUAAAUUUCAAGAAUAAACAAUGCAAUAUUAAUGAAUUACAGUAGUUAAAAUGAGAUAAUUUGAGAACAAAUUGUUGCAGAAAGUUUAAAACAAACCAAAUAAAUAUAGAAAUAAUUGUAACACAUCAAAACUAAAAAUGAAAUUUAAAAAACACAAUAUCAGCAAAACGAAAUACAAUGUGAAUAGGAAAAUUGUCAAAUACACCACAUUCAUAAUGCCACUUUUCAUAUUUACACUAAUUAUUUUUACCUUCAUUUUUAAAAAGGAAAAAAGACAUUUAUAACUAGAGAUGGCAUUUUGACCGCAGCCCGCGGGCCUGGCCCGUACAAGACCCAUGCGGGGCGGAUUUGGGUAAAGGUAAUCGAAGCCCAUUUAAAAGCGGGUCUCGCGGGUAAGUGUCAUGCGGGUUUGGGCUUUUGCGGUCUAGGCUCAGCGGGUCUUGCGGGGUCGACAUAACCCGCGACCACUUCCUCAUUUGCUGUCUUUACACCUGAAAAAAAAGAGUCAAGAGAC